GUAGGAAGGUGGGGUUUUGCUAGACGUGCAUGCGUUCCCGCGGAGCACCGGCUCCUCAGGCCAGCUCUGGAACAGGACGGGUCCCCUCGAGCCAGAAGGAGGCCUGGCAGCAGCCAGCGCCCAUCCCACGGGAGGACCGUGCCCGCGCCCUCCGGCUCCCUCCAGCGAGACCCAGGAACACUGCAUCAACACUCUUGGCCCGGAUCUGGACACAGAAGACUUCUGUUUCAAGAAAAUACAGUCAUCUCUCAAAUCCUGUAAUUUAUAUGCAUUCUAAACUCACUAGGUAUUGAAAACCACCCAAAUGUCCCACAACAUGGGAUAAAAUAUAAUCAAUCACUCAGUGUAAUAUUAUACAUCCUUUAAAAAUGUUAUUGGAAAAUGUUUUAUGAUCUGUAAGUCAAAAUAACCCUCUCCCACCAUUUCUUUCUCCCUGCUGCUCCCUGAUACCCAUGCUUCUUUGUUCCAAUUGGCAUGUAAACUUGUUUUCCCCGCCAAAUGAGUCAGUCAUGAUGGGAACGUCAAUUGAUUUGAACAGAUGUGUGUCAAUGUUACUUGGAAAACUAGAUGCCAAUAACCACAGCUACAAAAAAAAAAAGCAGUGGUUGCAACUAUGUAAAAAUUUAUGCAUGCAUACAGACAGUGACUAAAGUGGAACCCCAAAGAGGAAAACAGUUGGAUAUACUCCAGUGCUGGGACAUUAAAUGAUUGUAUGCUGCUUUUGAUUUUUAUUAAUAUGAAUAACUGUCCAAUUAAAAAGACCUACUAAGGAC